rnacentral:rRNA from 1 species
GCUUGUCUCAAAGAUUAAGCCAUGCAUGUCUAAGUAUAAACGAUCUAUACUGUGAAACUGCGAAUGGCUCAUUAUAUCAGUUAUAGUUUAUUUGAUAGUCCCCUUACUACUUGGAUAACCGUAGUAAUUCUAGAGCUAAUACAUGCUAACAGCCCCAACUUUACGGACGGGGUGUAUUUAUUAGAUGGAAACCAAUGCGGGGUAACCCGGAAUAUGGUGAUUCAUAAUAACUUUCGGAUCGAUUUAUCGAUGCAUCAUUCAAGUUUCUGCCCUAUCAGCUUUGGAUGGUAGGGUAUUGGCCUACCAUGGCUUUAACGGGUAACGGAGAAUUAGGGUUCGAUUCCGGAGAGGGAGCCUGAGAAAUGGCUACCACAUCCAAGGAAGGCAGCAGG